rnacentral:misc_RNA from 1 species
GAUGAAGAACGCAGCGAAAUGCGAUAAGUAAUGUGAAUUGCAGAAUUCCGUGAAUCAUCGAAUCUUUGAACGCACAUUGCGCCCCCUGGUAUUCUGGGGGGCAUGCCUGUCCGAGCGUCAUUGCAACCCUCAAGCGCGGCUUGUGUGUUGGGCUUCGUCCCCCCGUGGACGUGCCCGAAAGGCAGUGGCGGCGUCCCGAAUGGUGCCCGAGCGUAUGGGAACUCUCUUCCGCUCGAACCGGCCCAUUCGGCGCUGGUCGAACCCCAAUUUUUUUUUACCGGUUGACCUCGGAUCAGGUAGGGAUACCCGCUGAACUUAAGCAUAUCAAUAAGCGGAGGA